GCGGGCGUGGUGAAACUGGUAGACGCGCCGGACUCAAAAUCCGGUUCCGCAAGGAGUGUCGGUUCGAGCCCGACCGCCCGCA
rfam:Sphingomonas sp. Root710 contig_3, whole genome shotgun sequence.